GACGAACGCUGGCGGCGUGCUUAACACAUGCAAGUCGAACGGAAAGACCCUGCUUUUGUGGGGUGCUCGAGUGGCGAACGGGUGAGUAACACGUGAGUAACCUGCCCUUGACUUUGGGAUAACUUCAGGAAACUGGGGCUAAUACCGGAUAGGAGCUCCUGCUGCAUGGUGGGGGUUGGAAAGUUUCGGCGGUUGGGGAUGGACUCGCGGCUUAUCAGCUUGUUGGUGGGGUGGUGGCUUACCAAGGCUUUGACGGGUAGCCGGCCUGAGAGGGUGACCGGCCACAGUGGGACUGAGAUACGGCCCAGACUCCUACGGGAGGCAGCAGUGGGGAAUAUUGAACAAUGGGCGGAAGCCUGAUGCAGCAACGCCGCGUGCGGGAUGACGGCCUUCGGGUUGUAAACCGCUUUCGCCUGUGACGAAGCGUGAGUGACGGUAAUGGGUAAAGAAGCACCGGCUAACUACGUG
rnacentral:rRNA from 1 species